UCUGGCUCAGGAUGAACGCUGGCGGCGUGCCUAAUACAUGCAAGUCGUACGGAGCACUCAGCUUGCUGGAGAGCUCAGUGGCGAACGGGUGAGUAAUACGUAAGUAACCUGCCUGCAAGGACUGGGAUAACACCUGGAAACGGGCGCUAAUACCGGAUAGGUAACAGAGGGGCAUCCCACUGUUAUUAAAGGUUAAAAACACAAGCAGAUGGGCUUACGGUGCAUUAGCUGGUUGGUGAGGUAACGGCCCACCAAGGCGAUGAUGCAUAGCCGGCCUGAGAGGGUGAACGGCCACAUUGGGACUGAGACACGGCCCAGACUCCUACGGGAGGCAGCAGUAGGGAAUUUUCGGCAAUGGGCGCAAGCCUGACCGAGCAACGCCGCGUGAGUGAAGAAGAAUUUCGGUUCGUAAAGCUCUGUUGUAAGGGAAGAAUAACACGGAGAGAAUCCGUGCAUGACGGUACCUUACCAGAAAGCCACGGCUAACUACGUGCCAGCAGCUGC
rnacentral:rRNA from 1 species